rnacentral:rRNA from 1 species
GAUGAACGCUGGCGGCGUGCCUAAUACAUGCAAGUCGAGCGAACAGAUGAGGAGCUUGCUACUCUGCCGUUAGCGGCUGACGGGUGAGUAACACGUGGAUAACCUACCUAUAAUACUGGGAUAACUUCGUGAAACAGGAGCUAAUAACGGAUAAUAUAUUGAACCGGAUGGUUCAAUAGUGAAAGACGGUUUGGCUGUCACUAAUAGAUGGAUCCGCGCCGCAUUAGCUAGUUGGUAAGGUAACGGCUUACCAAGGCAACGAUGCGUAGCCGACCUGAGAGGGUGAUCAGCCACACUGGAACUGAGACACGGUCCAGACUCCUACGGGAGGCAGCAGUAGGGAAUCUUGCGCAAUGGGCGAAAGCCUGACGGAGCAACGCCGCGUGAGUGAUGAAGGUCUUCGGAUCGUAAAACUCUGUUAUUAGGGAAGAACAAAUGUGUAAGUAACUAUGCACGUCUUGACGGUACCUAAUCAGAAAGCCACGGCUAACUACGUG